rnacentral:lncRNA from 7 species
GGGCGCAAAAGGAGGGGAGCUGCGGCCCGAGCGGCGGGUUGCCCCUCUCGACAUACCCACAACUCUCCGUAUCAGGCCAUUUAAACAAGAACAAAGUAGUACUGCCUCCUGCAUGUUUUACAGCUACAGGAAAAUGUAGAUUAACUCCAUCAAAAUCAGUUCUGCUUUUGAUUCCUCACUAAUGCCAUUGACGGGACAAUGAAUUGCUACACCAGCUUUUGGGGAACAGUUCUCUAAAUACCGGUGCUUCUAAAGUAGUGUAUCAUGAACUCAGGGAGUGUGUUGCUGAAAAGCAACCAGGACUGUUAGAGGCAUCAGAGACAAUUCCUAAUAGUGGAAAGCAGGAAAGUGUUCUUGACUAUUUCAAACUUAUCUUUGCAACUGUAAGGCCGGAAGCUUUAUGACUGUGAAAGCUGAGACUAACAUCAUCUUCUAAGUAAAGGAUUGGAGCAUGAAAGAUGAAGCAGAAAAAUCACAACCUGGUGAUUUCUAAGGAAGAAGCAAUGCUUUUGAUCAACUGCUACAUAUUGAAUGACUGAUGACUGUAAGUACUGUACAAAUGUGAGAAACACAGUACCCUGUGUACUUUGCAACUACAAUAAGAACUUCUGCCUAUUGGUCUUUUGUCUGUGAGAAAUUGUGCAAAACUUUUUGUCAGAUCUUUUCCCCAUAUUUUUCUAUUAAGGGUUGGUUUUCAAUCACACAAGAAAAAAAAACAAUUUUAGUUCAAAACUGUAAUUAUACUUUGAGUUAGUUGGAGUAUAAGCCUUUAUCUUUUAAACGGAGUGAACUGUACAAGAGGUCAGGAAGACAUUUAAACAUAAUUUCAUUCAUUUUAUUUUUAUGAAAGUAUCCAUACUAGUAUUAGAAUCUACUCCAUUUCUACUGACUGAGUCCAGAUGAUCAUCCUCUGAAGAACUCUUAAAUUACACACUGUAGAUUUAGGUGGAGGAAGUGUUCACCUGUUCCCAAGGAGCGCUUUGUAGCUGCUGCUGACUUGAAGUGUGUAGUCAGACCUAAGGAUGCUUACAGCUGUGCUGCCAAGAUGAGGACAUUACGAUGGGAUAGAGGCUUUCCAUUUUCUCUUGUAUAAAAAGAACCCAAAUCAGAAGAGAUCAUGGUAGUGUAAAGGAGCGCUGUAGUUUCUAGAACCCAAAACAAAACUACAAAGAUAUGCAUUAUUCAAAGUAAAAAUGACUAAAGACCAUGGCAAAUCUAAGUUUAUAUCACUAGGAAAUGGUGCUUCUCAGAAUGUAAGAUGAUAACGAGGACUGUAUGCUUUGUUUUUGUAUUAUCAAGAGAGACCACAAAAACUCGCUGUAAAUAUUUGAGUUUCUUUUGCUGUCAACAUAAAAAGCUGACCCAGCUUUUUCUUUCCUUUCAAGGGAUUAACAAAUAACUCUUAAGUCAUACACAAAUGUCGGAUCUAUUAUUCAUAGCUAAUUUUCUAUUAUACUGUUAAACAAAGCCUCUGGGAGUGAUAGUUUUUGCUGGACGCCCCUGGUUACUGUGUUACAUUGUAGAAAAGCACUACUGUUAGUUCUUGCUGGGUUUAUUUCUGACUACAAUCUCAUACAAUGUGAAAUGAAAUGUUAAAGCAGCCUGGAUGGACAAAUGAUCAGUGCAACAGUGGCUCUGAAACAAACGGAUGUACUCCUUUAAGUUGCCUGAAUGGGAGCUUGUGAGAAGAAGGAUUACUGAAAGCUAAUACAUACCUCAGUACAAAGCUGGAGGUGGGCUCUGUGCUCACACACAGCUGUAUUUUAAACAUCUCACUUAAGAUGCAUUCAAAUACGACACACACUUUUUGUUUGUAAAGUGUAUUUCAACAUUUAAGUCCCACAACAAAUAUCUGCCAUGUAUAUUCAGCAAAGAACCAACGUUUCUGAACCAAUGUUUAUGCAUUUUUUUUGCACGUGAAAAUGAAGCCUUUUAAAAGAAGGUCCUUUGCUUACUGCAAAAGUGAGUUGGUACAAACUGUGAAGGGGCAUGUAUUACAGAUCUUCAAAGCUUUUACAGUACACAGGCUUAUCAGUUUUAAUCCUGUAACACCUAGAUUAUUCUUAAAAUACAAUGUUUAUUUUUGGACCCUAUUUACUGCUUUAAAUCUAAUAAAAGCACGUGUU